rnacentral:rRNA from 1 species
UGGGGAAUAUUGCACAAUGGGGGAAACCCUGAUGCAGCGACGCCGCGUGGAGGAUGACGGCCUUUGGGUUGUAAACUUCUUUGAUCAGGGACGAAAGCAAUGACGGUACCAGAAGAACAAGCCACGGCUAACUACGUGCCAGCAGCCGCGGUAAUACGUAGGUGGCGAGCGUUAUCCGGAUUUACUGGGUGUAAAGGGCGUGUAGGCGGGUUUGCAAGUCGGGUGUGAAAGAUUCGGGCUUAACCCGGAGAGGUCAUCCGAAACUGCAGAUCUUGAGUGCUGGAGAGGAUAGUGGAAUUCCUGGUGUAGCGGUAAAAUGCGUAGAGAUCAGGAGGAACACCAGUGGCGAAGGCGGCUAUCUGGACAGUAACUGACGCUGAGGCGCGAAAGCGUGGGGAGCAAACAG